UACAGAGGUCUCAAGCGUUGUUCGGAUUCAUUGGGCGUAAAGGGUGCGUAGGCGGCGCGGUAAGUCGGGUGUGAAAUCUCGGGGCUUAACUCCGAAACUGCACUUGAUACUGCGGUGCUCGAGUCCGGGAGAGGUGAGUGGAACUGCGAGUGUAGAGGUGAAAUUCGUAGAUAUUCGCAAGAACACCAGUGGCGAAGGCGGCUCACUGGCCCGGUACUGACGCUGAGGUGCGAAAGCGUGGGGAGCAAACAGG
rnacentral:rRNA from 1 species